rnacentral:rRNA from 1 species
AGUGAACGCUGGCGGUAGGCCUAACACAUGCAAGUCGAACGGCAGCACAGUAAGAGCUUGCUCUUACGGGUGGCGAGUGGCGGACGGGUGAGGAAUACAUCGGAAUCUACUUUUUCGUGGGGGAUAACGUAGGGAAACUUACGCUAAUACCGCAUACAACCUACGGGUGAAAGCAGGGGAUCUUCGGACCUUGCGCGAUUGAAUGAGCCGAUGUCGGAUUAGCUAGUUGGCGGGGUAAAGGCCCACCAAGGCGACGAUCCGUAGCUGGUCUGAGAGGAUGAUCAGCCACACUGGAACUGAGACACGGUCCAGACUCCUACGGGAGGCAGCAGUGGGGAAUAUUGGACAAUGGGCGCAGGCCUGAUCCAGCCAUACCGCGUGGGUGAAGAAGGCCUUCGGGUUGUAAAGCCCUUUUGUUGGGAAAGAAAAGCAGCAGGUUAAUACCCCGCUGUUCUGACGGUACCCAAAGAAUAAGCGCCGGCUAACUUCGUG